AAAAGCUAUAAAUAGCCCGAGAAACCGUUAGUAGUUAGACACCAAUCGAAGAUGAGGUCGAAUACGUUCUUUGUUUUGCUGGUCCUGGGAGUAGCCCUUGCUGCAGCCAGGGACUUGCGAGCUAAACGCCGUGUUACUACAGAUUUCCAUGAUUACUCGAAGAUGUGUGAAGCUCAGCCUGACAAAUUCAUAUGCGUCGACUGCAAGACCAUGGUCCAGUGUGUGAAGGGACAGGCCUUCACUCGCCACUGCAUCGAGAACCACUACUGUUCAAAGAAGCCCGAGUUUGGCGGUGGAGUCUGCUACCCAGAUGAGCCUCAGGCCUGCAAAUGCGAGAAGGCCAACUCCUUCCGAGUGGACCCCUACGACCCUCAGAAGUUCUUCUCUUGCAAGAACCUUGUAACCCCCCCAGUGAACUACAAAUGCCCAGAUGGCAUGGUAUUCGACGAAGCCUCUGCCAGUGCCAGACAGGAAAUGGCCUGCCCCAAUGUACUAGGCUGGUACUUUUGCCAACCCGGCUAACUGCAGUGUAUACUACUCGUGCAUUGGCCUUCAAAUGGCUGGCUGCAGAAGAGCUUCCAGUGCAACAGUGGCUUGAUGUACAACAAGGAAAAGGGAGCAUGUGAAGACCCUUGCCUGUACCAGUUCGUGUGCAAGCAGGAGGGCCGAUAUCCUGACCUCCUGAACCAGCAGAACUACUUUGAAUGCUACAUGUUGGGUGGCAAGUUACGGCAGCUCCGUUACAGCUGCCCUGAAGGCUACAGGUGGGAUGAGAUCUCUGUAGGUGUUGGCCAGUGUGUGGAGGACCAUGACAAAAAUGCUUCCAAGGGUGCCUUCUUUGGCUGCGACAUUCCUGACGGCUUCUGUCCAGGUACUUAAGAGUAAGGUUACUACAGUGAGGGCGACCCUGUUGUAACUACCAAGUGGAGUAGGGCCUCUACUUCGAUGUGUCUCGAAUAAAUUCUAAUUACUUUU